ACGGGGUGCAGCAGGCGCGAAACCUUUACAAUGCACGAAAGUGUGAUAAGGGGAUUCCCACGUGCAAACUUUGUUUGCUUUUCUCAAGUCUAAAACGUUUGGGGAAUAAGGGCUGGGCAAGACCCGUGCCAGCCGCCGCGGUAACACGGGCAGCUCGAGUAGCGUUCGCGAAUAUUGGGCCUAAAGCGUGCGUAGCCGGCCGAAUAAGUUCUUUGUGAAAGCCUGCGGCUUAAUCGUGGGAGUUGCAAGGAAUACUGUUUGGCUUGGGACCGGGAAGGGUUGGAGGAAUUCCUGGGGUAGGGGUAAAAUCCAGUGAUCCCAGGAGGACCAACAGUGGCGAAGGCGUCCAACUGGAACGGGUCCGACGGUGAGGCACGAAAGCUAGGGGAGCGACCCGGAUUAGAUACCCGGUUAGUCCUAGCCGUAAAUGAUGCAGGUUUGGUAUUGCACUCCUUACGAGGGAUUGCAGUGCCGUAGGAAGCCGUAAACCUGCCGCCUGGGAGUACGCCGCAAG
rnacentral:rRNA from 1 species